UUUAUGUGUCUUCGGCGGCAUCAGUAAUCUAAUCCGGUCUGCCACCU
rnacentral:antisense_RNA from 1 species